rnacentral:rRNA from 1 species
UCCUACGGGAGGCAGCAGUGGGGAAUUUUGGACAAUGGGGGAAACCCUGAUCCAGCCAUGCCGCGUGAGUGAAGAAGGCCUUCGGGUUGUAAAGCUCUUUCAGCCGGAACGAAAAGGUCACGGCUAAUACCUGUGACUAGUGACGGUACCGGAAGAAGAAGCACCGGCUAACUACGUGCCAGCAGCCGCGGUAAUACGUAGGGUGCAAGCGUUAAUCGGAAUUACUGGGCGUAAAGCGUGCGCAGGCGGUUUUGUAAGUCAGAUGUGAA